UACGUAGGGGGCAAGCGUUAUCCGGAUUUACUGGGUGUAAAGGGAGCGUAGACGGCAGCGCAAGUCUGGAGUGAAAUCCCAUGGCUUAACCAUGGAACUGCUUUGGAAACUGUGCAGCUGGAGUGCAGGAGAGGUAAGCGGAAUUCCUAGUGUAGCGGUGAAAUGCGUAGAUAUUAGGAGGAACCCCAGUGGCGAAGGCGGCUUACUGGACUGUAACUGACGUUGAGGCUCGAAAGCGUGGGGAGCAAACAGG
rnacentral:rRNA from 1 species